UCCUAUCCUCUGGAAAUAAAACCACCUGACCACCACUAACCACUACCAAAUCUUCACCGCCUCUGACCACCACUAACCACAACCAUUCAACUUAUGCUGCAAUAAACACUUCUCAAACACCAUCUUCACAACAACACAAUCAAUCCCAAAUAUUGAAACAAGAUUCUCAAUCACAACAUCAAAAACGCAACAACACACAAAAGGGUCUAACAAGAAUUCAACAAAUCAAACAAAUAAACCUUCAGUUUCAUUUUAUAACUGAACAAAAUUAGGGAUUUUAUAAAAUUACCAAAUCAAUCGCACUACUAGUGGACACAAUCUUCGACCCUUCAUCUUCAAAAUUGGGAUCCCUCUGCUUCCGGCCACCACUGUCGCUAUACUCCGUCACCGUCGGAGACUUGAGGAGAAUCAUGCUUGUCAUUUCUUUCAACAGAUUAUUUCCGGUGUUGAGAGUUGCCACCUACACAUGGUGGUUCACCGCGAUCUUAAACCAGAAAACCUACUUCUUGACUCGAAAGGGAAUGUUAAAGUAGAUGAUUUUGGUCUUGCUAAUGUUAUGCGGGAUG